GGUUAUGGCUCAGUGGUAGAGUGCUUGCUUUGCAAGUAUGAGGCCCUGGGUUCAGUCCCCAGCACCA
rnacentral:tRNA from 1 species